rnacentral:lncRNA from 1 species
CUUUGCCCCACCACCCUCUCACUUAUAACCCAAAACACACACACACGCACACACACACACACACACACACACACACACACCCUUUCCCUCUUGCCCUACUUGCAUCCACCAUCACCUACAAUCUGGUAUCCACCCACAUUCACGUGUACAACCUGCCCUCAGUACUCAUUCUUCUUAUACUUCUGCAUUCCCACACUGAGCCUUACCCUCACACGCCCAUACCAACCUUUAUCUAUAGUCCCACACACAUGCACGCACACAGAGACACCUCUGCCCUACCCACCCUCACCUACCCCCUUCUACAAUCCUGCAUAUACAUGCACACCUUCACCCAUACAUACCCACCCUCGCCUACAAACCUAUAUCCACGCAUAUUCAUACCUGACCACAACUACCUAACCAGCGGUUUGAUGCCACACUUUAGAAAGGUUCAUACACCCUACUUUUAAAAACCAUCAUGAUUUAGGCUGGAAUUAGUAAACUGCUAUUUGAUUUUACAGAUAAAGUUUCAAAAGGUUAAAUAAUUGAACAAGGUCACACUGCUAGCAGUUUCUAAGAGUCCUAAAAAGAACACAGGUGUCUGAAGCUCUGUCCAAUGUUCUGUCAUUCACAUCACAGCUGUCUACAUACGUCUCUUUGAAACAACCUGAACUCUUCUCUCAAUAUAAAAUUGAGGUGAAAUACCAAAUUAAGGCACAUGGGUCCGUUAUUGCCAAAGUGAUGGAUUUCCUGACAACCAUUCCACCCAGAAGAUUUUUUUUCCCAGAACUAAUAAUCCCAUCCCCGUUGCUGGUGAUUAACUUAAUAACGAGCAUGACAAUCAACAAACAGAUUGAAAAGGCAACCUACUCAGAAUGGGAGAAAAUAUGAAACCAUAUACCAGAGAUGAAAGUAAUAUCCAGAAUAUAUAAAGAAUUCCUACAACUUGAUAACAAAAACACCCCAAUCUAAAAAUGGACACAGAAUUUAAAUAGACAUUUCUCCAAUGAAGAUGGCCACCACACAUGUGAAAAGAUGCUCAACAUCACUAAUCAUCAAGGGAAAUGCAAAUCAAAACCACAAUAGCACAAUGAGAUAUCAUUUCAGACCCCGUAUGAUGUUAGGAUGGCUACUUUCAAAAAAACAGAAAAUAAGUGUUGGUAAGGAAACACCUGCACACUGUUGAUGGGAUUAUAAAAUGGGCAGCCACUAUGGAAAAUAGUAUGGAGGUUCCUAAAAAAACUGCAAUUAGAAUUCCCAUAUGAUCCAGUCAUCUCCUACUGCAUAUAUAUCCAAAAGAAUUGAAAGCAGGAUCUUGAAAAGAUAUCUGCUCUCCUAUGUUCAUGCAGCAUUAUUCACAACAGCCAAGAUGUAGAGGUGAUUCAAAUGUCCAUCAGUGAAUGAAUAGAUAAAGAAAUGUGGUAUAUACAUACAAUGGAAUCUUAGCCUAAAAAAGAAAGAAUUCCUGUCAUAUGCUACAGCAUGGAUGAACCUUGAGGACCUUAUGGUAAGUGAAAUGAGCCAAUCAGAAAAAGAUGGGUGCUAGAUGAUCCUACUUAUGUGAGGUAUCUGAAGUAAUAAAACUCAUGGAAAUGAAAGUAGAAUAAUGGUUACCAGGGGCUGGGGGAGGGGAAAACACCAUGUUGUUCAAUGGGUAUAGAGUUUCAGUCAUGCGUGCGGAAAACGUUCUAGAGAUCCGUUGUACAACAAUGUGCAUAUCACAACAUUACUGAACUGUACACUAAAAAAUGUUAAGAGGGCCAGGCACAGUGGCUCACCCCUGUAAUCCAGCACUUUGGGGGGCCAAGGUGGGAGGAUCGCUUGAGCCCAGGAGUUGGAGACCAACCUGGGCAACACAGCAAGACUUCAUUUUUACUAAAAAUAAAUAAAUAUAUAAAUAAAAAAUAGCCAGGCAUGGUGGCAAACGCCUGUAGUCCCAGCUACUUGAGAGGCUGAGUUGGGAGGAUCCCUUGAGCCCAGUAGUUCCAGGUUACUGUAAGCUAUGAUCUCGCCACUGCGCUUCAGCCUGGGCAGCAGAGCAAGACUGUCUCAGAAAAAAAAAUUGUUAAGAAGAUAAAGUUAUGUUAUGUGUUUUUACCACAUUAAAUAACAAUAACAAAAAAGAAUGAGCAUCUGGCCUAAUUCUGACGAGUAAAAUUGGAAGGGAAGUCAGUUGGGGGCUAGGAAAUCUUUGCUUGCUCAUAAGAAAGUGAUUUUAGAAAUGAUUGCCUGGAACCGUUACAUGUAUUUUCUUACCAGUCCGAGGAUGAACACACAAGAGAUUCACAGGAACAAACCAGACCACUGACUUGCUGCACUGAAGUUGCAAUACUUCUGAGACGUAGAUCUCCUUAUUAAUCUAGCUCAGUGUUUUGUUACCUGCAGCACAGAAACACUUUCCCUGAAAAACAGAUACAACUUUUAAAGCAUAAUUUUUAUUCUUUAGGUAUUCUGGUAAGUGAUCUAAACUAUAUGUCUAUUUAAAAAAUAAACCUACAUUAGACCUAGGAUUAAUUUAUGAAUUGGGAUUACUUAUUUUAAAAAUAUAGGGAGAACAUUUAAAGUCAGGUUUAUUGAGGUAUAAUUUAUAUUCAGCAAUCCUCCUUUAAAUAUACAGUUUGAUUUUGGCAAAUGCAUAUUUCUUUAUGGAUUAGUCUUUAUGCUUAUUUACCAAGUAAAUAAUUAUGAAGAAACUAUCAUAACUGCAGUUUUAAUUUAAGGAAAGUUCUCUCCAAAUGGGGUAAACUCUUUUAAAAUAGGUGGCACCAGUUUAAUUUCUAAAGGAGCUGUGAAGACAUCUGUAGACAUAGAGAUAAGAGUUCUAUUUAGAUCAGUAUUUUUUUUUUUAGAGACGGAGUCUCGCUCUGUUGCCCAGGCUGGAGUGCAGUGGUACGAACUUGGCUCAUUGCUACCUCCACCUCCCGGGUUCAAGCGAUGCUCCUGCCUCAGCCUCCAGAGUUGCUGGGAUUACAGGCACCAGCCACCAUGCCUGGGUAAUUUUUGUAUUUUUAGUAGAGACAGGGUUUCACCAUGUUGGGCAGGCUGGUCUUGAACUCCUAAGGCUGGUCUUGAACUCCUAACCUCAAGUGAUCCACCCACCUCGGCCUCCCAAAGUGCUGGGAUUACAGGUGUGAGCCACCGUGCACAGCCUAGAUCAGUAUCUUGAGUGCCAGAAAGUGCUCUGUCCACAACCAUAUUUUUUUGUUUAUCAUUUUUAUUUGCAAUAACCCAGAACUGUCCUGGUUUUUGUGCUGAAAGUCUCCAGUCCCAGGAAACUCUGCAGUCCUGGGCAAACCAGGAUGGUUGGUCACCCUAGCAACAUUUCUCAACCUAGGAACUAUUGACAUUCUUUGUUGUGGGGACUGUUAUGUGCAUUGUAGGAAGAUUGCAUCAUUUGUGACCUCUACCCACUAGGUGGGUCCACUCCCAGUUGUCACUAUCAAAAGUGUCUCCAGAUAGUGUCAAAUGUCCCUGGGGGGGCAAAAUCACUCAAGGGGGCAAAAUCACCAAAAUCAGGCAUCUGCCCUAGAGGUAAGUGCCCUCACAACUCACACAUUUGAAAUUCAUAAUCUUAUUUUCUGUUGCUGUUGUAAAGCAAAAGCAAGUUGAUUCUCCUGUUUUUAUAGCAGAGGACUUAAAAUGCUGAGGAAUUGCUUCCAGACUGUCCCUUUUUGGAGAUCCCCCUUCUUCACCCCUCACCCCUGCCCCUUUUUCUUAACAUUGCAAAUGACCUGACCGAUGAUUCUAGGUGCAUCUUUCUUGUAGGUUCUGGGAAGCCGUCCUUGUGACCUGUGUCCAGUCUAACUCUCUAGACUUGAAAUUCUUUUUCUGUUUGCUACUUCCAAUUCUCCCAUACAUAUAUAGCCAUAUCAUACGAUGAUAUUCUUAAGACACAUUUAUAGGAUUGAAUGUGCAUGUGUUUUAAUGGGAUGGUAUUUUGUGCACUUUUCUGUUUUUGCCUUUCUCAGCCAACAAUACUACCUGGAAAUAUCUUCAACAAAAUAAUACAGCUAUAAUUUGUUCUUGUUAAUAACGGUGUAAUAUUGCCUGUUAUAUAUAGUGAAUAUACUGUAUUUUAUAUGCCAUUUCCCUAUUAUCUUUCUUUGCCUCAACAUGCUCUAUUGGAAUAAACAUCUCUGCACAUAUAUCCUUACCUUCUAGAGUUCUUUUUCCUGUGGGAGAUGUUCCAAGAAACAGGAUUACUGGGUCAAAGAAUAUUUCUAAUUCUAACAGAUUUGCCACACAGUUUUCUGGAAAAACUAUAGUGGUUUCCAUUUCUAUUUAUAUUAUUGUUAAAACGACAAUGACACAAAACCCCUUUCUAUGUAUCCCCGAUAGAAAUAAGUGUUAUUGCUCCAUUUAAUGUUUGCCAGUCUGAUGAGAGUAAAUUCAUGUCUCAUUGGUGGUUUAAUUUGUAUUUUCCCAACUAGUGGAGCCUGUACAUUGUUUAAUGAUUGUAGACUAUUUCCAUUUUCUUCUCUGUGAAAUUUUCUGCUUCUGCUCUUUAACAUUUUUCUAUGAGAAAUUUGUUCUUACAAUUUGUAAAAGCUUAUCUGUAUUUAUCCUACAUGCAUAUUGCCACCACUCUGUCACUUUUUUCAGAUUUAAUUUUUCCUUCUCUUGUUUUGAUAACAUUUGUAUUUUCUGGCAUUUUUUGGUCCAUUCUUUCAUUUCUUGGCCUUCCUUUGCUCUUUUUCCUGUUCUUCUUGUAGACAGUAUGUACCUGGGUUUUGUUUCAGCUGAAUCUGAAGGUGAGUCUUUCAUGAACGUACUCGUAGGAGUAUUAUAUACUGACCAUAUUCUUGAUAUUCCUUCCACAGUACUAUAUUAUUCAUUUUUACUUGGUUGUUCACAAUUUCUUUCUUGCUAAUUAAUUUGUAAGUCCCACAAUAUUUUUCAAUUUUUAGCACUUAGACCUCUGUUUCUCAAAAAUAUGGUGCCCAAUCUUUCUCCCUUCUGAAUGCUUAAUUUCCUCACUCUUUAUUCCCAAUAAGAUAAGAUCUUUAAAAUAUUUCUUCAUCCCUGCUCCUCUCCUCUCCUAGCCUCCUCUCAUUGCCUUUGAAAUGUUUUUACUUUGUUCUUAUCCUCAACCCCCUGCUCCUAGGAAUUGCUAAGCACCUUUAGUUCUUUUUGUUUAGGACUGUUAUUAGAGUAUCUCUGGCAUUAUGUCUCUUCUAUUGCGAUGUUCCUUAUUUUUACUUAUUCUCCAUAGCCCCAGACAGUUUGUCAUUAUCAAUUUAAAUGUAAAUACAUUUACUUUUCAAAGUUAAUUGCUCAUUACUCUUCUCCUCUUUUCUUCAUAGACCCUUAUUUUGAGUACUCUGUUCACAUUCAUUUAUUGUUGGAUAUCUUUUCUUGAGUUUUUCCUUAAAUCAGAUAUAUUUUCUGAAUUCAUGCAUAUGCACAAAUCUAUGGUUGUUAUAGGAGAGUUGGGCUACAGGUCUUUUCUCUUGCUCAUCUGUGGAUGCCACUCUAUCUUCUACUAUUGCAGAUGAGACACUUGUUGCCAAUCUCACUAAUAGGCAAAUUGUGUCUUUUGUCUGAAUGCUCAUAAGGUUUUCUCUUUAUCCUUGGAGUUCAGGAAUUUCUAGAAUGUUACUUUGGGGUUUAUCGUGUAUGGAUAUAUGUGUUUGUCUUCUAAUUCUCUAAUAUUUUUUCCUCAUGAAUUGCAUCUUUUUUUCUCUGUGCUUUGAAAGGUUUCUUCCACUUGAUUUUCCAGGCCACUAUUUGUCAUUUCCUAGUGCUCCCUACCCUUCCUGCAGAGCUUUCAAUUCAAUGCUUAUGGGCACUUAUUUCCCAAAAUAAAAGAAAUUUCAUAUUGAAAAUAAACAGAUUAUCAAGAAGUCAUAAUAGUCAUUAGCUUUUAUGCCAAAAUAGCACAGUCUCAAACUUUAUGAAAAGUGAUAGAAAUAUGAGGAAAAAUGGAUUAAUCUACAAUCUUUCUGGAGGACUUUUACACAUCUCUUUUAGAUACCAAAAGAUCAAUUAGGCAGAAAACAAGAAUACAGAAGACUAAUAUAGCACAAUUAGCAAGUAGGAUCUAACAUACGCAUACAACUGUGCACCCAACCAAAAAGGAAAUGCACGUUCUUUCAUAUAGAAUAUCUCUGAAAAUUUACCAUGUAAUAGACCACAAAGGAAGUUGCUCACAAAUCCUGGAAAACAAAUACAUACGUACAUGACACACCUUGUUCACUGAACACUGAACAUACCUGUUGAAUUCCACAAUAGAACUGAAAAAGAUUCAACAAAAAAAAAUUUUAAAGUGUUCUACAGAUAGCUGAAAAUGUUAAAAUAUGGGUUUAAAUAACUUUUUCGUUAAACAAGGCCUAUAAAACUAAACUAUAAAAAUUUGGAAAUAGACCAGGUGUGGUGGCUCACGCCUUUAAUCCCAGCAGUUUGGGAGGCCAAUGUAGGCAGAUUACCUGAAGUUAGGAGUUCGAGACCAGCCUGGCCAACAUGGUGAAACCCCGUCUCUACUAAAUAUACAAAAAUUAACCAGGCAUGAUGGUGGGCACCUGUAAUCCCAGCUACUUGGAAGGCUGAGGCAGAGAGAAUUGCUUGAAUCCGAGAGGCAGAGGUUGCAGUGAGCCGAGAUAGUGCCACUGUACUCUAGCCUUGGCGACAGCAAGACUCUGUCUUGAAAAAAAAUUGGAAAUAAGAUAAUGAAAGUAGUACAUUAUUAAUCAUCCAAAGUAGUGUUCAGUGGAAAAUUUACAUUUUUCUUUUUUCUUUUUUUUUUUUUUUUUGAGACGGAGUUUCGCUUUUGUCGCCCAAGCUGGACUGUAAAGAUGCAAUCUUGGCUCAGUGCAAACUCCGCCUCCCAGGUUCAAGCGAUUCUCCUGCCUCAGCCUCCUGGGUAGCUGGGAUUAUAGGCACGUGCCACCACGCUCAGUUAAUUUUUGUAUUUUUAGUAGAGACAGGGUUUCACCAUAUUGGCCAGGCUGGUCAAGAGCUCCUGACCUCCGGUGACCCACCCGCCUCAGCCUCCCAAAGUGCUGGGAUUAGCCAUGAGCCACCAUGCCCAGCCUAUAUUUUUCUUAAAUGUUUGCUCUAGCAAAGAAAGAUUGAGUAUAAAUGAGCAAAGAAGCUGGGGAAAUAAACAACAUAAUAAACCCAAAUAAAGUAGAAUGAAGGGAUUUGAGAAAUAAAUAUUGAAGAAAAAUAAAACAAAAAAAUCAAUUUGAGCUUAUUAACAAAAUUCAAAGCUAGUUCUUUUAAGAUGUCUAAUACUAUAGAAACAUCUUUGGCCUGAUAUAUGAAGGAGAAGAGAGCAAAAGGAAAAGGACACAGUAAAUUUAAAAGUAUGUUUUAAUACAAUACAAUCUAUGGCAGAAUGCGUAAUUGUUCACAAUACUUUGCAUCUCCCUGUAUUCAUGUCCUUUGUUAUGUAAAUUCGCAAUUCCUCCUGGUAAUGGUAAAAUAUAUCCACCUCCAUUCAUAAUAUUGUGCUGGACUGUGUGAUUUACUUUGGCAGAAGUGCCAGUGCCAGUUCUGAAUCUAGGCCUUAAGGGUAUCACAUAUGUCCACUUAUCCCUCUUGUACUUCUUCCAUCCCCAGGAGAAGAAUGUGUCUCUGGUAGCCAAUUGAUCCAAAAAGGAUCUGACAUUUUCAGAUGUGGAACCAAGGCCAGCCAAGCCCAGCCAAGCCCAGCAUAGAUCCGAUCCGCCAAAGCCCAACUGUCUUACAGAUGUAUAAACUGGAAUAAAUGUUGCUUUA